CAGGAUAUCAAAAAGACAAGCUUGAUGAUGUUAUUAAAGGCUUUGCACCUACCUCUGGCAGUAACAGUGACAAAGAUGAUCAUAAUGGGGAGCAAUUGAUGGAAGAUGAAUCUCAAAUUGCUCUAAGGAGAAGGAAGAAACUUGUUCUUGAUGGUGAUUUGGAAAGACAAAUCAAAGAUCUCCAUGAGAAGUAGGUUUGACCAGAUCAAACUUUUGUCUGAACUUUGGAGCAUGAUUUAAA